CCGGCGACGCGGUCCCUCCGGGGGGCUGUGCGGUUGGUGAUCACACUCCGUCCGGUUCGGGUCCGGGUCGGUGGC
rnacentral:tRNA from 1 species